rnacentral:rRNA from 1 species
AGAUUGAACGCUGGCGGCAGGCCUAACACAUGCAAGUCGAGCGGUAGAGAGGUGCUUGCAUCUCUUGAGAGCGGCGGACGGGUGAGUAAUGCCUAGGAAUCUGCCUAGUGGUGGGGGAUAACGUUCGGAAACGGACGCUAAUACCGCAUACGUCCUACGGGAGAAAGCGGGGGACCUUCGGGCCUCGCGCCAUUAGAUGAGCCUAGGUCGGAUUAGCUAGUUGGUGAGGUAAUGGCUCACCAAGGCGACGAUCCGUAACUGGUCUGAGAGGAUGAUCAGUCACACUGGAACUGAGACACGGUCCAGACUCCUACGGGAGGCAGCAGGUGGGGAAUAGUUGGGAACAAGUGGGACGAAAGCCGUGAUCCAGCCAUGCCGCGUGUGUGAAGAGGUCUUCGGAUU